CAGAGGUCUACAUGCAUCUGGUGAAUAUGAUGAAUCUGGAGACCACGUUCUGUCUUCAUUGAACAACUCAUUCAGACACAACUCAGAAUACUCAAUGUCUAGGAUUGGUGAUGUAGGAGAGGAUGAUCUACUUCCUGUGUAGAUUGACGUCUCAAAUUUAGCAUGACCAAAGUCAGGAAUAGGUGAAUCAGGAGACAGAGGUCUACAUGUAUCUGGUGAAUAUGAUGAAUCUGGAGACCACAAUCUGUCUUCAUUGAACAACUCAUUCAGACACAACUCAGAAUAUUCAAUGUCUAGGAUUGAUGAUGUGGGAGAGGAUGAUCUACUUCGUGUGUAGAUUGACGUCUCAAAUUUAGCAUGACCAAAGUCAGGAAUAGGUGAAUCAGGAGACAGAAGUCUACCUUCAUCACAUAAACACAAUGGUUCAGGUGAAUCUAUUCUCCCUUCUUGGAACAAUUCCUCAAGAUAAAGGUCAGAGUAUUCAAUAUCUGAUGCUAAAGAUACGGGAGAUGAUGAUCUGCUAGUUGAACAUAUCAGCUGGUCACAUGUAGAAUGAAUAUAUUCAGGAAUAGGGGAUUCAGGAGACAUGGGCCUUCUCUCUGUGAAAAAAUCUAAAUACAGCUCUUCCUCUGUGUUUUCUGAUGUUAGAGAUGCCGGUGAUGUGCUCCUGAGAUGUGCGGAGUGAGUUAUACUAACCGCCAAAGGACAUUUGUACUGAGGGACAGGUGAGUCGGGUGAGAGGGCCCUGAACUCAUUCAAUUCAGCCAAAGAUUCAGGUGAAGGUGGCCUAAACAAUUGACACCACUCCAGAAAUUCCUCAGCAUAAUCUUCAGAUGCACUUAAGGAGUCUGGAGAAAGAGAUCGAUUUUCAGAUUCAUAGUCUGGAGGCUGUGACUGAGGUGAAUCUGGUCUGGUCUCGCUGAAUAGUUCCUCAAUACCAAGUUCAGAGUAUUCAAUCUCUGAUGAUACAGAUUCAGGAGGGGAAGAUGGGUAUUCAUUAAAUGAUAACAUAUAAGUGUCCAGAAAGUUUUCGUACUGUGGAACUGGAGAAUCCACAGAGAGCGGUCUGCUCUCAUCAACUGAUGUAAAGGAUUCUGGGGAUGAUGGUCGGAUAUCUACAAAUAAAUCUUCUACAGAUAAGAGGGCUCCAUCACUAUCUGAAAUUACCGAUUGACAUGAUGGUGAUCUGUAGACAGAAGAUGAUUUAGAAAGUAAGGACUCAGAAUCAGAUGUAAAAGCAUAUUGCUUUCCUAGUUGUCCAGACUCCGAGGACUGCAAUGGCAAAGUGGAGAUAAGUUCAUCAUGACGACAAAUCAUUAUUUCGGACUUUAAGCUUGACAACUGUACUGACAGCACUUCUGGUAUCAUUUUACUUGUAAAGUCACUAGAAGUUUCAGCAACAACAAUAGUAGCCUGAACUUCCUCACUCAUUUGGAUUUGAUCACUACACUCAUCUGUCUCAUCUCUUUCUGUUGUUCUUUCUGUGUCAAGUAUUCGUUCAAAAAUUCCCGCCUUAGUACAGAGAUGUUCUCCUUUAAAAGGUGGGUCAUACAUAUGGGACAUCAGCUUGCAUGGUACGGUUUCGUAUACCAAUCUAAACUUUUUGGGAAAUGAAAUGUCAGCAGAGACUGCCCCAACACUUUCCAAGGCCAUGAUUUUUACUGGUGGCCCCAUUUGACUCUCAAGAGAUUUUGAUCCCGGCCCCCUCUUUAAGGAAGUAUCAUAUGGCUCUCUUGAGUUUGGAAAGUUUUUACGAAUCACAAAGCCUGCAGCAUCUGGAGAUAUAGGAUGACGGCUACUUUCAUCUAUGAUUGAAUCAGGAGAUUGUGGCCUACCCUCAUCAUAAUCCCAAGAAAAGCAGGACUCAUUAUCGGAUAAUGUUGGUACGGGUGAUGGGCCCAGAUCACUUUUAACUGCUCCUGUCAACAUGUUCUGAGGCAAAUAGUUAGCAUAUUGAGGAAUAGGAGAGUCGGGAGAGAGAGGUCUAAACUCCAAUGACGUAUGAGAACCUGGUGAGGAUGGUCUCAGCUCUUUCAACCAAUGCUCCAGGAAAGACAGCUUGUAGUCAGACUCUGAGGAUAGAGAAUCAGGUGACAGCGGUCGUAGUGCCAUCACACAUUCACCAACCACAUUUUUGAAUGCCUCAUCUGAUCCUGAUAGAGGGGACUCUGGUCUCACCUCAUAUGGCACUUGUUCAUAGUUCCAGUUGGUAUCAAAGUACUCUAUGUCUGAUGUUGCUGAGUGAGGAGAUGCAGAUCUGUUCCACUGAAUGGCAGGCACUGUAGACAUAUUAAACUGAGGUACAGGGGAGUCAGGAGUAAGGGCUCUAGUGAAGGAAUUAGACUCAGAUGAAGGCCUGUCCUCAAGGAAGAAGUCUUCCAGAUAAUACUCUUCGCUCUCACUGUCUGAUAUUGCAGAAAUGGGAGAUAAGCUUUGGAUACCAGUGGAGUGCAUUGAGAUAGUCAAUGGAAUUUCAUACUGUGGAACUGGAGAGUCAGGGGAGAGCAGCCUGUAUUCAUCGAGUGAUGAAAUAGAUUCAGGAGAGAAGGCUCUCACUUCUUCAAGCCACUUUGAGAAAAAUAAGCAGUAGUCUGUUUCAGAUAUCAGUGACUCCGGUGUCAAUGGUCUAUAUUUAGUCAAAUAUUUACUGGUGGUUUCAUCAUCUAAAAUGACUGAUUCUGGUGAAUCGGGUCUGUCCUCGUCAAACAACUCUGCCAGACAGAGGUCAGAGUACUCAACAUCUGACGCUAGAGAUACGGGAGAUGAUGACUGUUUACCUGUGAAGUUUAACUGUUCAAAUGUCUGGCAGCCAUAUUCAGGAAUAGGGGAAUCAGGAGACAGGGGUGUAUAUUCAUCUAAUGAUGUAAAGGCUUCUGGUGAGGACGUUCUUUCUUCCUCUAACCAUUCAAGGAAAGAUAAGGAAUAGUCAUUUUCAGAUGUGAGGGAGUCUGGUGAUAUUGGUCUAUGCUCACUCAGGCCUCUCACAGUCCCGUUGGUGUUUAUUUCUGAUUCCGGUGACUCUGGUCUGUCUUCACUGAACAACUCUUCAAAACACAUUUCAGAGUAUUCAUUAUCAGAUACUAGAGAUAUGGGAGAUGAUGUUCUAUUACUUCCAUAGACAAACUGCUCAAAUAUUGGGCAAACAAACGCAGGAAUAGGUGAAUCAGGAGACAGAGGUCUACAUUUAUCUGGUGAAUAUGAUGAAUCUGGAGACCACGAUCUGUCUUCAUUGAACAACUCAUUCAGACAAAACUCAGAAUACUCAAUGUCUAGGAUUGGUGAUGUGGGAGAGGAUGAUCUACUUCCUGUGUAGAUUGACAUCUCAAAUGUAUCAUGACCAUAGUCAGGAAUAGGUGAAUCAGGAGACAGAAGUCUACCUUCAUCACAUAAACACAAUGGUUCCGGUGAACAUGAUCUGAGUUCCUCAAUCCAUCUCUCUAGUUCAUACACUGAAUAGUCAUCACAAGAAGACAACGAUUCUGGUGAUAGAGGUCUGUUUGCAAGCUCUUUGGAGAAUUCUUUUUGCCUACUGUCAAUGGGAGAAUAUAUGUCUUGAGUAUCUGAAUCAGGAGAGAGAAAUCGGUCCUUGUCUCCACACAAGUCAUGUGAAAGAGUGCUGUGGAUUUUGGAAUAAAUCUGCCCUGAUUCAUUAUUUUCACAUUGUGAUGCUGCUGACUGGGGUGGUAGGACCAUUUCUUCACUGAAAUAUUUUUCUAUUUCUCUACCUGCUUCGUUACAUAAUGCACUUUUCGAGUUUGAGCAUUGUGUUGAGUGUACUGUGGUAACUGGGGUAGCUUGUACUGACCAGUCUGAUUCAUUACCUAUAUCCAGCUGUAUGAUUUUAGUUUCAUAAUGCUUUGUGUCCUCCGAUGUCAAUGGUCUAUAUUCAGUCACAUCUUUACUGGUGGUUUCAUCAUCUAAAAUGACUGAUUCUGGUGAAUCUGGUCUGUCCUUGACAAACAACUCUGACAGACAGAGGUCAGAGUACUCAACAUCUGACGCUAGAGAUACGGGAGAUGAUGAUCGUUUACCUGUGAAGUUUAACUGUUCAAAUGUAUAGCAGCCAUAUUCAGGAAUAGGUGAAUCAGGAGACAGAAGUCUACCUUCAUCACAUAAACACAAUGGUUCCGGUGAAUCUAUUCUCCCUUCUUGAAACAAUUCCUCAAGAUAAAGGUCAGAGUAUUCAAUAUCUGAUGCUAAAGAUACGGGAGAUGAUGAUCUGUUGCUUCCAUAGACUAACUGCUCAUAUUGAUUACAGCCGUACAGAGGAACAGGUGAAUCAGGAGACAGAGGUCUACAGGUAUCAUAUGAAUAUGAAGAUUCUGGUGAAUUUGGUCUGUCCUCAUUGAACAGCUCAUCAAGACAAAAUUCAGCGUAUUCAAUGUCUGAUGCUAGAGACGAAGGAGAUAAAGAUCCAUCACUCAUGUAGAUGAACUGUUUAGAAGUAGGAUGGCCAUACUCAGGAACAGGGGAAUCAGGUGACAGUGGUCUAUGUCCAUCAAGUGACAUUGUUCCUGGUGAAGGCAGCCUUGUCUCAUUGGGCCACUCUUCAGAAUAGACAUCAUACUCAAUGUCACUUUCAGAGGCUAAAGAAUUAACAGAGGAAGAUGCUGCUCCAACCACAGAAAUGAAUACUUCAGGUUGGGGACAUUUGAACUGAGGAAUUGGUGAGUCAGGACAUAAUACUUCAUCCUCUGAUGACAAAGAGUCUGCAUAUUCUGGUGAGUUCAAUGUGUACUCAGAGUACAACUCUCCCAUGUCUGAAUCUGAGGAUCCAUUUUCAGAAUAUACAUAUCCAGGAGAGCAUGGUCUAAAGCCAUUAAUUGAAUUGAUACACUCAGGGACUCUGUAGUCAGGCACUGGGGAGUCAGGAGACAUGGACCUAAACUCAUUCUGAGAUGCAAUAGAUUCUGGAGAAGAUGGUCUACUGGCUUCUGGUGUAAAACUUAAGUCUUUGUUUCCUCUAACUUCUGAGGCCAGUGCUAAUGGUAAGUUUCCACUUCUGGCCACCAUGACUUCAGGCACAUUUCUAUACUUUGCAAUGCAAGGCAUCAGCUGUGGCUCAAUGCUAGGCUCUGGCUUCAUCUCACCUAACCGGGGUACAUAGUCUUUCAUACAUGUAUUGAGUAAACAAGGCCUUCUUUCAUUGAAAUGCCCUUCUAACCCUGGACCCAGGGGGCUGCCACCUAAAGAAACACCCAAGGACAAUUCCUGUCCUGAGAGGGGUGUUUCAGGAGGCACUCUUAAGUCUAGUUUGGAUAUCACAGCCUCUGCAAGCAUUCUCUCUUCCAAUGGGACAAGACCAUGCUCUACAGGUUGUGAGAAUGGCUGGGGACCUGAGAACUUUACUUUUUCAGAGGGAGAUGCAGGGAGUGCAGAUGCCUUAUUACAUGACCUGGAAGUCCUUGGCAUAAAUACAUUUGAUAUGUAUGAUUUUCCUUGGCUGAUAAAAGAUGUCUUUGCUCGCACCACUGGAUUAUCCUUAUCAGUUUGCCCACUUGAUGAACUGGCAGAGUCAUUUACCAGCUGAUCAUAUUUGGUGUCAUGAUGGGGGUGUAAUGUGUCUGUUUGGGUGUCCCAUGGUUUUGAGGCUCCCUGUAAUGAUUCAGGACCUUGGAAAGGGAGUCUUUCUUGUGUUAAAAUGCUCUUCUUAGACUUGAUUGGGGCUGAGUUAUUGAGAAAAGCCUGAUGCAGACUUGUGGUUUCAUAAAGUUCAUCAAUAAAGGGUAUGAGGGGUUCUUCCCUGGGACAAGUUUGGGCCUUCAAAGCCUUGCUUGCCCCACCAAGUUUGGAGUUUGUACAGUGUUUAUCUGGGUCGUCAUCCUCUACAAUGGCCAAAGAAACUGUGUGAUUCUCAGUUGAUCUUGUGUGACCAUGCUCACAAACUACACUGCUUAAGUUCAUGUCAACGAGGUCCUCUCUGAGUUCAGUUAAUAGCUCACUGAAAUCUGUCUCAGCUUGGUCUGACUCUGAGAGACAAUGGCCAAAGUCUUGAAUAGAUAUAGGUGCCAGUGGAUUAACAGGUCUGGGAAAUGAUGACCUUGGAUCGCCUUGGAUAAGUUCCUCAUCGCCCAUUGUAUUUUGGGGAUGUUUUCUCAACCCAGACUGAAAUCCAUGUUCAGUGGAGUCCCAUGGUACAGGUGCAGCAGCACCAACUGUGGACUCAGUCAUAGGAUUUGUGUUUUGCGGUGGGGAGACCCUUCUGUAUUGUGGAUCAUACACUUGCGACAUCAGCUUCGAAGGCUCAGCAGUAUUGUCAAAAUGUAGAUGACUUACUUGUCUGUCAAGGCCCUCAUUUGAUGACCCAGCCCUCAUCUCUCGAGCAGCCCAUGGGUUGGUGAUAAAGUCCCUAAGGAAAAUGGAAAAUGAGGUGUAUGUUAGUGCUGAUUUACUUCAAUAAAAUGGCCACAAAGAUCAAAUCAAAUAAUUUCUUUACUAUUUUUCGGUAUUUCGACCUACUGUGUAAUGUCAAGUUCUUCUAGGAGGUCUCCAUGCAUGCUUUCAGAAUGGGUGUGCCCCGCAGGCUCUGACCAGGACGGGAUGUCCAGGAGAGAGGCCACGGACAGGUCUUCCUCAGAAACCGCUGGAGGUUGCCGUUGUGAGGAUUCCACCCUUCUUACCAGUCGCGGACUUUCUACAUCUUCCUGAACUGAGGAGAGAGCUGGACACAGAAACAUACAGAAAAGUGUGUAUGGAUGCAUACACACACACACACACACACACACACACACUCAGUGGAAACUGAAUAGCUAGAAGAUUAAACUUCCUCAUGCAGUACAACAAGAUAUGUGCAUUUGAUGUUGUCAUUAAGCCACUGCUUAGUAACCACUGCGGGGUAGUAUUUGAAGCCAAAGAUGUGGCCUCAAAACAUAGCACAUAAAUGCAAUACCGUGUUGAAUGUUUUUAUUAUGUGUUUAUAGCAUUAGCUGACCAAUACAUUCUACCUUCACUGUGAUCAAGAGUCCUCUCAAUUUCUGCAUACGUCCGUGAGGUCUGCUCCUGGACUGACUUGUUCAUCUGUGUCUCAAGGAGGUGGACUAUGUCCAUGCGAUUUAUUGCAGUGAGCCUCUUGAUCAAGCAAUCCUCUGCGAGGAUAAAUGACAUAAAAUGAGUUAUGCCUAUCCACACAUUAAUACAUUUUUUAAUUCAAAACAGAUUAAGAAUAGGGUUUGGGUAGUAUGUACAAAUGUAGAAAAGGGUGAUGAGCUCAUAUUCACCAGUGGCAUGCUUCGCCUCACGCUCCACCCAGCGCUGCAGCAGUGCCUGACUUUGCUCCUGCAAGGAGUUUGGGUUCUCUGACCGCACCAGCUGUAUUUCAUCCUCAUUGAACUCCAGUUCUUUUGCCAGCUCUGGAGAAUUUUACAUUUAUUGAAUCUUAUGUUUUAGAAUCCCUCUUUGCGAGCAAGCUCUGAUCCAGUAAGAUUCAUUUAAAAACAGAGUAUAUAUAAUAUCAGGGAGAUUGGUGGUCAUCACAUCCACAUUCAUUAGCAUAUGAGACUUACCAGUCCAACUAAACCCAAGGAGGUCAGAAACUAUUGCCAAUGUUUCUUCCUUUCUGUCUGCAUCUUCCUGCCAGUCCACUGGAAGUUCACACAAAUCAUUAAGAGUAAGAUACCAGUACAAGAGUAAAAGACCAGAGGCCACAUAUGCUGCUAGAACUCAAUUUAUUAUAUUAAUUGAAAGUGGAAAUAUCUGCCUAAAAACCUGUAAGUGCUGCUUCUUUGUCAUGGUCAGUUCUAUCUUUAUUAAGAAUGGCAUAAACUAGCUGAUCUGUGAUGACUGAAAAAACUUGACCAAGGAAUCUAGAGUAGCACACUCAUGUUUAGUACCUCGAGAUUAUUAAGUGCUUUUCACAAUGUUAACAUAUACAUAUGCAUAUGCCUUAAGACCCACUGAUCAGAGCAGACGCAGUAGGUAGGGUCAAUCAGAAACCCAGUAUUGUUUAUAUGGAGUAUGUGAUAAUAUGAUGGUACAUUCCCCAUAUGGAGGUUGCCUCUGAAAUGGAUCUGGCCCUGAUUGGUUCCAUACUUAGCUGUCUGAGUAGAACUAUAAUCUACUUAUGUGAUCUGAUUGAAAAAAAUAGACCUUUCUAAUUCACUUCAGCUGCUAUCUGAGUAGAACUAUAAUCAAUCUACUUAUGGGUUCUGAUUAAAACGACUUUGUUAACAUGACUUCUAAUUCACAUCAAUUAUGUUUCAAAAUCUACUUAUGUGUUCUGAUUAAAAUGACUGCGUUAACAUGACUUUUCUAAUUCACUCCAGUUAUGUUUCGAAAUCCUGGAUUUAUGCAACAGUGAAAUAUGGUAAACUAAAAUAAAAGUUUAGAGAUGUGGAUAUACAUAAGGACCCACUAAUCUUGAGACCUUAAACAUGGAAGUGGUGCACUCAUCAUUUAUAAUUUGAUCAUUUUUAUGUCAUUUCUUUUUCCACUGUCCAUGCAUGGAACUCACACCUGUAAAAGGAGUGUAAAGUACCAUGCUGAAACUAGCAACAGCAUGUUAUAAAAACUAUGUUAGAUUUUCAUGUUUGGGUUAGAAAGACCUUCCAUGCAAAUGACUAUGGAAUUCAGUAAUGCUUAUAAAAAUGGGUUAUCACAUGUUGAAUUUGACGUAUACAGUGCCACAUGCAGAGUAGUUUUAUUCUAUUAUCAGAGCAUUUCUGACAUUAAACUAAAAAGGGAGAGAGUCAAUCUUGAGAUUGGAAAUGUACACAAAGAUGGCUGGAUGGAAAGGCAGCAGAAAAAAAGUGAGCUGAUAACUGAACACACAGAAACACAGAGGACAACACAAGACAACAACACACAGCACAAAACAACACACAACACAGUGACAAAACAGAACAACAAAGAGGUGACGAUGGACACUUAGGCAGGAAAAAGAGGUCUUUUGGUUGAGGGAAGUAGAGGAAAAAGAGAGGGGGACAGACCCAUUGAGAUGAUACCUUGACAUUGUUCUGAGGUAGCGCUGUCAGAGAUGCGCUGCAUCUGAGUCUCCACACAACUGUCCCAGUGGGGCCUUGACUCAAAGACAUCAUCUGUAAUGGAGGAAGGCCGUACCCCUGGAACAGCUCUACUCUCUGCAUCUGGAGCACAAGAGGCUCUCUCAUUCUGUUUGGGGUCUCCAGAGCCAGGCAACUCUGAGUUGCAAGAGGUCUUACUGAUGUGACGAGAUGUAAUGGUUUGUUCAUGUGAGAUACUGUGCUGGAUUUUUUCAGUGUAAGAAGAAUGUGAAUGUCUGUGUUUACUUAUGACUGGGAGUCUUGAGCUAGAGAUCUUUGGUUUGGUCAAGGACUGACUCCUCUCUGAAAGACUACGGGUGUGUGUAGUAGAUAAGAGAUGCCCUGUGUGUUCAUCACCAGCAUCAGACUUUGAACGAUGCUCCUGUAGAGGAGUCUCUGAUUUUUUUGCAGAGCUUAUGUCUGAUUUCACUGAACCUGCUUUCACUGGAAUCUUUGACUUGGAUUUAAUUUCUACUGAAAACACAGAGAUGUCAUCUUGAGGGGGAUCUGAGAUUUCAGAUGCAGUGGAUUCAGUGAGACUGGUGUGGCCCAGCACGUCGUAGGUUAGGGAGGGAAUUUCAAUAACGGAUUGCGGCUCAUCCUCAUUAGAGGAGUCAGAGGAUUCGGAAUCCUGAUCUGAGUACACAGACCGCGUGACAGUAGAGCUGGCUGUGUCCACAUCCAUUAUAGUGGACACUGAGGUGUCAGGAGGUUCAAGGAAAUCUCUCUCUUGGUGUGAAUAGUUGGGGCUACCAGGAUGAACGUCAAGUGAGUCAGACGGAGUGACAUUUGAGAAGUUGGAGGUCUGCGGUGUAGAAUCAAACUCUUCCUUUGUUUGAUCCUCUGUUACUGAGUCUCUGUUGUCCAUUUUAGAGUCUUCGCUUACAUCCAUAUCACUUUUUUCUGUGUCCUCCUCCACAGCAUCAUCAUUUAAUGGGAAAAAAGCUCGCUCUUCAAUCUCCUCUUCCAAGCUCCUCCUGGUCAUAUCAAUAGCACCACCUCUGGUCAUCUCAAAGAGCUUCCCCUCCUGGAAGAGGAAUGGAUUUGGAGUUCCCUCUUCUGUGGGCGUUCGGCCUGGUGUGGAAUCUGGUGUUUGCCGCUGGGGCAGCUCUUCCAAGGGAAGACCAAAAACCCUGCUUUCUUCAGCUUCCACUCGUGCCUUAAAACUUUCAUCAUCUUCUAAAUCAGCACUCCAUGGGACCAGAUCUCCUUUAAUAUCCUCAGGGAUGCCCGUUGACAGUGUGUCAUGAUUGGCAGCCUGUGAAACCUGAUAACUUACAUCUCCCUCCUGAAUGCAUAUUUUCGUGUUAAGAUCUUCCUGAAGAUUCUGUGUCACAGCUUGCGGACAGAGAGGGAGGUCAGCAGAGUGAUCGUCUUGUUUUACAGAUGAUAUCAAAUGAGCUCCACUGCUAUCAUCUAAGACAACAGAUACGGUAUUAUUGUCAGUGGCUGAGUAGCUGGACAUUCCUUGUUUUCCUGCCUCUUCAGUAGAGGUAAGGCACUUCAACAGAUCUGAACAAUCCUCCUCACUCUCAUCCACAAAUGUUUGCAUAGAUAUAAUAUCCUUUGUAUAGUCCUCUCUGUGUUCAAAGGCAUCUUUUUCCUGGUUUGUGGUCCCAGGUGAAUCAUCCUUUAAGACUCCUUGGAGUAGUUUAACCUCUUGAAGGCUAUGGCUUUCAGGUUUGGGAGAUGAUGACAGCAAUGGGUUUGGGUCAGCUGUGAUAUCAGAAUGGUCUUCCCAUGCCAUCCAAUCAUCUUGGGCUUGUGAUGGACUCUUGUGAUCCUCUGACUCCUCUAGAGCAAACCUGACCUCCUUCUUACUUUUAACGUCCUUCUCCAUUUCGUCAAAUGUUUUGAUUUUUGCUGCCAUUUUAAACAUUUCCUCUUCUGGAGUAAGCUGCUUCUGAUCUGUUUCUGAGUUCUGUUGGUCCAUAUCUUUGUCCGCAUUGUCUGAGGAGGAAGCAGAUAGAUUUGUGGACAUUGGAAGGCACUGUUGGUGAGAUGGAAUGCCAAACUCAAAAUCGCAAUCUUCAGAGGAAUAGGCUCUUUCAAAAUCAACUUCUCUUUGAAAGUCAACUUCAAUCCCUGAUCCAGGACUGAGUGGACUGUCGGGAGACUGAGCAGCUUGCUUUGGUUCUGAGAAAAAAUCUGCCCUCUCUCCUAUCGGGCUUCCCUCCAGGGAGUCUGGACAGGGAGAGUCUUUGGUUGGACUUGGCUCAAGCGAGUCAGGAGAUUUAUGUGAAGAGCCAUCCUCUAUGACAGGACUGACCUCCAGGGAGUCCCUACGACAUACACUGGCAUUAUCAUCCAUGACAACAGACCACAGAGCGUCUAUGUUUGAAGGUCUGGAUGGGGUAUCUAUUCCCUCUGUUCCAGAGCUUACAGUUAUCUGUCUGUCUUGUAUGGAUACCUCGGACUCUGCUGAGAAAGAGGAGCCAAAUGAGUCUCCAGUCAUAAAAUCUGAAGUUUUGGUAGGGCUUCUGGAAUUACUUUGUACAGCAUUAUCAUUCUCCUCCUGGGUGUUGGGGAUUACUUGGGGAAGUUCAGAAUAUCCCUCAUGUCUUUCUCCUUUAUCUAUACUUGUAUAAGGUGUAUCUCUUGAUGAACUGGAGCCAACUUCAUCUCCAUCAAGCUCAGGACCAGCAUCGAGAUCCUUGCACUGAAACUCUUUUGAAAUGAUAAUGGCUCUCUCCUCAUCCAAUUUAGAGGAUAAAUCUGUGUCAAAUUCUACCUCAAUACUACUCUCUCUUUGGUAUUCAAUCUGUGAAUUAUUAAUCCCUGAGCAAAAUAUAAAGUUGUUGUCCACUGUGGUAGACGUCUGCCUGAAAAUUUGGUACUCAGGAUUGGCUUCUAAUUCUGCUUUGAUGUCAGCACUGAAGUCCUCAGAGGUUCUCCUGUCUGGGCUAAUCUGAAACUCCUCUGAUGACAUUGGGUCUCGGCUCAGCCCUGGAGAUAGAAUAUUGAACUGUCCAGAACUAGUUACCCUUUCCUCACCAUUAAUUACCCCUGACUCAGUCUCUGGCUUCUCUCUUUGAAAUGUUUCUGACAUCUCUGAUUGAUUGUCAUUAUCACUGAUGGUUUUCGUUAGAACAACCUCCUCAAAACUUUCCUUAACAAUCUCCUGACUUAACGAACGAUCAGAUACAGCAGGUAUCUCCUCUAGGUACUGCUCUAGGUCUCCACUUAAAUGUGAGACCAUGCCAGAUAUGUCCUUCACCGAAGCUCUUGACGUGGAGAAUUUUUUGUCAAUUUUAACUUCUUGGAAGGCAGCUUCUUGUGACUGCUCUAGAACUGGAUCCUUAUUUGGUGAAUCUUCUAAACUGCUCCAAGGCUUUUCGAAGUCUUCUGAUUGUGUAUAAUCUGUACUUCUAACUCUACUUAACACAACCUCUUCCAACUUUUCCUCGAAAAUCCCCUGAUUUGCAGACUGAUCAUUCACAACUGGUAUUUUCUCUAAGUACUGGUCCAGGUCUCCAGUAAGAUGUGAGAGCAUGCUAGACAUGUCUUUCACUGGUGCUGAUUGUUUAUCAUCUACAAUGGUGACCUUUCUUAACAUAACCUCUUCAAAUGUCUCCUCUAUAAUGCCUUGACUUGCACAAUGAUCAGAGACAGCUGGUAUUUUCUCUAAGUAAAGGUCAAGAUUGCCAGUAAGAUGCGAGACCAUCCCAGACAAGUCUUUCACUGGUGCUGAUGAUGUGGGGGAUGUCUCUUUAGCUAUUUGAAACUCUUGGAGCAGAGGUUCCUGUAUCUGAUCUGAUGUAUUAGCCAAACUCUCAUUCUGAAAUGUGCCCUCAACCACAUCACUUGCCAUUGCCUCUGAAAGCUCACCCUGACUGUUAUCUUGUUUUCUCUCCUCUUUUGAUGAAAUAUGAACAAGCUCAUCUUUUGGUGAACUGCGACCAAACUCAUCUGUUGGUGAUGUUUCUAAACUAUCCCCUGAUCUCUCAAAUUGACAUGCAUCUGAUUCUUGAUCGUCUCUGGUGAUGACUCUACCCAACACAACUUCUUCAAAUGUCUCCUCUAUAAUGCCUUGAUUUGCAAAAUCAUCAGAGACAGCUGGUAUUUUCUCUAAGUACAGGUCAAGAUUGCCAGUAAGAUGUGAGACCAUCCCAGACAAGUCUUUCACUGGGGCUGAUGAUGUGGGGGAUGUCUCACUAGCUAUUUUAAACUCUUCAUAUAAAGGCUCCUGUAUCUGAUCUGAGGUAUGCAUCCAUCUCUCAUUCUGUGAUGUGCCUUCAACCACAUCACUUCUCAUUGCCUCUGACACCUCAGACUGACUAUCAUCUCCUCUGACAACCCUGCUUAACACAACUUGUUCAAAGGUCUCCUGGACAAUGUCUUUAUCAGGAGAAUGAUCAGGUGCGGAUGGUGAUUUCUCUAGGUACUGAUCAAGGUCCCCAGUCAGAUGUGAGACCAUUCCAGACAUGUCUUUCACUGUUGUCUUUGACUCAGCGGGAGUGUUUCUGUCUACUCUGACCUCUUGCAGAAUUGACUUCUGCAAUUGUGGUGAACAAGGACUUAAAUCUUCCUUCUCUGAUUUCUCUGGUCUAAUAACAGGUAUGUUUUUUUCAACCUCCUCUGGAACACAAGGUUUUUCAGGUGUGCUGACACCUCUUCUUAAAAUAACCUCUUCAAAUCUUUCUUGGACAACCUCCUGAUCUAAUGAAUGAGUUGUUGUUUGUAUUUUUUCUAGAUACUGGUCCAGGUCUUGAGUAAGAUGAGAGGCCAUUCUAAAUUCUUCCACUUGUAAUUUUAGUGGACUAGAAAUAAGCGUGUCAUUUUGAAAGUCUUCUGAAAUUUCAGAUUGUAUUUCAUCUUGGCAAAUCACUUUCCUUACAAUAGAUUCUUCAAAAGUUUCCUGAACAAUCUCUUGAUCUGAAGAUUCACUAGUAACUGCUGGAAUUUCCUCCAGGUACUGCCCUAGGUCUUGCGUGAGAUGUGAAAUCAUGCUGGACAUGUUCACUGCUGUUCUUGAGUCAGGGUAAGUGUUACUGUCCACUUCAGCAUCCUGCAAAUUGAUCUUGUAAUCUGAACUUCGCGAUGUAUCUGAACUGAUGCAAGGUUUAUCAAUCUGCAGUUUUUCUGGGAUGUCAGUUUGAUUUAUGGCUGUUUUCUCAGAAAUGCUCAGAUCAUGCCCAGGAGCAACUGUGUCAAGGCUAUCCUCAAUUUUGUCAGACUGAACAAAAUCUGAACGGAUGUCUUGCUGCCCAGAAAUACAUUUUGAGGUUAUUUGGCUUGAUUGACCAUCGUCUUCAUGAUUUGCUUGAAAGAUCACUGUGGUUGUUUUCAUGGCUUUGUGCUCAAAAAGGCCAGAUUUGCUUUUGGAUGGGUCUUGGCCCUCCUGAAAUGCUUUCAUUAAUUCCCUCACAGACAUAGUUUCCUCCAGCCUCUCAGUCUGAGAUCGGGGAGAUUUGGGGGACUUUGGAGGAGGUUCUUCACUCUCUUUCAGAUAAGACUUACUUUGAAUACCAGUCACUUGUGGAGGCUUCCGCUUACGGCUUAAUCCCUCCUCUUCUUCAACUUUAUUUUGAAGUGCUUUUACCCUGUCUUUAAUGGAGCCUAUAGGUCUCUCCUCCACCAGAGGUGAGGCUGGGAAUAGGCCUGUGGUGGAUUCAGGUUCACCAAGAAUGAUGUCUCCAUCCAGAGAUUCCUCAGAGCUGAACCUCUGCAGUUCAUCUUCUGAGCUUUCACCAGCACAUUCCCUGUCCCUAAUCUUUCGCCUAGCAGGCUUUUUGACUUUAGGAAGAUGCCGCCUACCAUCUCUGGUCGCCACAAUCUCAUUGGAUUUAUCCUGUGUAACUUCAUGUUUUGAAAGAUGAUCGGACACCACAAGUGUGCUAUUGAAAUGCUGGUCAAGGUCUGCACUAAGAUGAGUAGUUGCACUAGGCAUGUCCUUCACUGAUGUUGAAGAUGUGGAGGUGUCUCUGAAAAUUCGGAUUUCCUGAGAGUCAGUGUUAGCUUUAGCCUGUGUGAUUUCGGGUUCACUGAGAACUACCCAUUCCCCCUUCUUGUUUUUUGACCAUUGGGUGUCUCUCUCCUCUCCAGUUUCUGACAAUGCUCCUCCUCGCAGUAUUUCAUCAACUUUUUCCAGAUCCUCCUUUACUUUCCCCAUGAUUUCAAAAGGUUCUUCAGGAUCUUCAUGCACUUUUCUAAUGGUCUGUGAUUGCUUUGUGUCAUCUAAAGAGUCAGGUUCUUCAGAUAGGUCAGUUGUAAGGAUAGCCGACACUUUGAUGAGGUCUUGUUUCAUGUCAGACACCUCUGAGAGAAGGUCUGGACUUGCUAAUGUGGCUGGGUCAUUCACCAUGUGUGUUUGCAGGAUGGAUAAUUCAGUUGACUCUGUUUCGUCAUCAUCUUUUUGAUGACAUAAAAAUAAAUUUAAAAAAGGAAAAUGAAGGGGGGAUAAGAAGAAUCUCUGGUCAAGGCAGGAGAAUAAGUAUUUAUCUUCAGUUGACAGGACAAGGAGGCUGGUUCACAUGAAAAUGACAGACAUUACAUUUGACUGAUGGAUCCAGGAGACUUUGAGGUUGGCACAGCAACAGCAAAGCAAAGCAAAAAGAAGAUAAACCGUAUGAAAAUAGAUGGCGAGGAAAUAACUUGCUUAAACAUGUUACAUGUUGAACUGCAUAUUCCUCAUAUAUGAAGAAGGGAGCGAGGAAACAAAAGUACAAAAGAGAAUGUAAAUAAAGUACAAACAGAGGGGUUAAACAAACAAAUAAUUAAAACAAGCAAACAAACAAUAGAAUACAAACCAAAUGGACGACAGAAAGUGGAGAUAAACCAUCUCAAGAUUGUCAAGUGACAAAUCAGAACAGCAAUUUCAUUUUUUUAGUAAAAAAUCAUAUCAGUUUGACAUUUUUAGAAAUUAUAUUUUUUUUCUGUUUGAAUCCUCAGAGGCUAUGGCAAAGAAAGUCUGAGAUAUAAAUUGUUGUGAACUCUCAUUCACUUGAGGACAAAUGUAAAUGAAAGAAAACAUUCACUGAAAUGAUAACAAUAAUGGUGAACUGAAUGAAAGAGUGAGAUAAAUACAAAGAAAACUCAAAGUUUGGGAAAAUGCUUUCUUACAGCCAGAGGCAAGACCACAGGCACACAUACUGUAGUCAGUAGAUUACAGUUACAAACAUAUAAAAUGUGAAAGUCAAGUUAUUUCCAUGCAAAACCAAAAGCUUGUGUUCAUGCAAUCCUAAACAAACCAAAAGCAAAGAACAGCAAGCAAAAUGAAAAAGCAAAACCUAAUUUUAUCUGAAAAUGAUAAAAUUGUCUACCAUUAUUUUUUAAAGUUGAUAUCCCCACAUAAUGGUACAGACUCAAAUAUUACUGUAAACCAAAUUCAGGAUGGAUAGUCAAACCGUGCUAAUACAACCCUAAUGCUAUGAAUAAUGUAGUGGUAUGAGGAAUGAUAUGGUUUAAAAAUACAACAAAAGAGAAUAGAAAAGAUGAAAUAGAUGGAGACGGCAAAGUGAUUAUCAGCCAUAGGUAGCAUAUCAGCUUGGGAUCCAUGUCCAUGCUUUACUCUAAAGGCUCUGACUUAACUACUGAAUCCAUAAAUCGGUUAAAAGGUACUGUUAUGCAGAACAACAUUUCUAAGCCUAUAUAUCUACUGUAUGAUUAAUACAGCCUUUACUAUCAAUAUGCUUUAACAAGGUAAAACUAUGCUAAUUGCUCAGGUGGUAAAGUUAGUAAAGUUAUUCCAAGAUAAAAGUGUCUUACAUUUCUCAUGUGUCUUGUCACUCUGUAGGGAAGGGACAAUUUAAAAAAUUGUUAUGAUGAUCAAACACAGUGUUACAUACACCGUACAUAUACUAUAUUAUUAACUAACAAAUUAAGAAUAUUUACUGUUGUCUCUCUUUUAUAGGCACAUAAUAAUGCAUUUAAUGAUAACUGUUAAUGAUAAUGCUGAUAAAUAGAGUAAAUAAAUUAGAUUUUUUAUUUCAUAAUAUUUGUAAAGAAAUAAAUGUACCUCCUCAUCUGCAUCCUGAUCAGAAUCAGAGUCCUAAUUAGAAGACAAGAUCAGUUAAUUUAGUGCAGGACAUGAACCAAUCUAUGUACUUAUAUAUAUAUAUACAAUUCUAAAACCAAUGAAUUCUUACCUUUGAGUAUGUGGGCAGAGUGAUGUUCAGAUUACAGAUGGCAUUGUGUGUAAGACUUCUGUACGUACGAGGCUCCUUUGUGAAAGACAAUCUUCCACAAGGUUCUUGAGCGCUAUCUCGAAUCUGUUGAUAAAUCAAGUUUAUAUGUUGUGAACAGUCAGGAAUGCAGAGGUAGUGGCAUUCUAAUAGAAACAGUCAUAUAACUUUGGAAAAAAGAAUGCUUGAAAGUCCAUCUCACCUUGAUGAACAGUGCCAAGCGGUUCUCUUUGAAGGCAAAGAAGCUGAAGACAUGAUGUUGACCACUCUUGGUAAGAGGCACCAGGUUUCCAAAACAGUCAGCAAAGAUUGGUUUCCCCUCUAAAACCUGAGAAACAUACGACUGGAAUUUACUUCACACCCACACACUCUAUACUGUGAACUUUAGUGUAGACUGGGAGAGAGGCUCAGGGCAGCAAGGGUGCCCAUCAGCAUUACCCCCGUCACACUGUCCUCCCCUCAGCUCUUUCUCUUAUGGCCUAUUCCCUUUACUUGUGCAAACCAGUUGGUGAACUAUGGUGCUUUCAUGACCCACAGUGCUAUGUUCAUGGGUUCAGUGUAAACAUUUUAGAUGUGUACCUCAACAUCUCGACUCCGUGCCACCUCUGUGAAGUUCUCCUGCUGCUCCAGUGUCUUGUCCAUUUUGUCGUCUGUCAUGCAGAAGCAUCGUAACCGGGCUUCUAUGGGGUCCAGUGUUUUGGCAAAGAUAACAAACUUGGCCAUGUAUGGAACACAGAUCAUUUCCCGGUAUAUCUGGGUAGAGAAGUUCACAGACUCCUGGAUCUGUCGGCAGUCAAUCAACCAGAAUCUGUGAGGCGGG
ensembl:lncRNA